rnacentral:rRNA from 1 species
GACAGAGGGUGCGAACGUUGCUCGGAAUUACUGGGCGUAAAGCGCGUGUAGGUGGGUCGAUAAGUCGGGCGUGAAAUCCCUGGGCUCAACCCGGGAACUGCGCUGGAAACUGCCGAUCUUGAGUGCCGGAGAGGGUGGCGGAAUUCCUGGUGUAGAGGUGAAAUGCGUAGAUAUCAGGAGGAACACCGGUGGCGAAGGCGGCCUCCUGGACGGAUACUGACACUGAGACGCGAAAGCGUGGGGAGCAAACAGG